rnacentral:rRNA from 1 species
ACCUGCUCGGUGAAUAUAUUUUAACAGCCGCGGUACUCUGACCGUGCAAAGGUAGCAUAAUCAUUUGCCUUAUAAUUGAAGGCUAGUAUGAAUGGUUUGACGAGAAUUAAGCUGUCUCUUUCCAAUUAAAUAUAACUUUAUUAGCAGGUGAAGAAGCCUGUAUUUUAUUGAAAGACAAGAAGACCCUAUCGAGCUUUAAGAAAAUUAACAGAUUUACUACAUAUUCAUAUAAGUGUAAAACUGCUAAAAACUUUGGUUGGGGCGACUGAGGAACAAAUAAAGCUUCCUUUACAACCAUAUACUUUCAAGUAUUGAUCCAAUAAAUUUGAUUAAAGGAAUUAGUUACCGUAGGGAUAACAGCAUAAUCUUCUUUGAGAGCUCUCAUCGAAAAGAGGGUUUGUGACCUCGAUGUUGGACCAGAAUACCCAGAAGAUGCAGUUGUCUUCAAUGGUUGGUCUGUUCGACCAUUAAAAUUCUACGUGAUCUGAGUUCAGACCGGCGUGAGCCAGGUCAGUUUCUAUCUUCAAUUCUUAUAAUGGCCUUAGU